UACGGGGGGGGCGAGCGUUGUUCGGAAUUACUGGGCGUAAAGCGUGCGCAGGCGGUUAUGUAGGACAGUUGUGAAAUCCCCGGGCUCAACCUGGGAACUGCAUCUGUGACUGCAUAGCUAGAGUACGGUAGAGGGGGAUGGAAUUCCGCGUGUAGCAGUGAAAUGCGUAGAUAUGCGGAGGAACACCGAUGGCGAAGGCAAUCCCCUGGACCUGUACUGACGCUCAUGCACGAAAGCGUGGGGAGCAAACAGG
rnacentral:rRNA from 1 species